GACCAGACUCCUACGGGAGGCAGCAGUGGGGAAUAUUGCACAAUGGGGGAAACCCUGAUGCAGCGACGCCGCGUGAGUGAAGAAGUAUUUCGGUAUGUAAAGCUCUAUCAGCAGGGAAGAAAAUGACGGUACCUGAUUAAGAAGCCCCGGCUAACUACGUGCCAGCAGCCGCGGUAAUACGUGGGGGGCAAGCGUUAUCCGGAUUUACUGGGUGUAAAGGGAGCGUAGACGGCAGCACAAGUCUGGAGUGAAAUGCCGGGGCUUAACCCCGGAACUGCUUUGGAAACUGUGCAGCUAGAGUGCAGGAGAGGUAAGUGGAAUUCCUAGUGUAGCGGUGAAAUGCGUAGAUAUCGCGCAGAACUCCGAUUGCGAAGGCAGCAUGCCGGCUCCACACUGACGCUGAGGCACGAAAGCAUGGGUAUCGAACAGGAUUAGAUACCCCGGUAG
rnacentral:rRNA from 1 species